UACGAAGGGGGCUAGCGUUGUUCGGAUUUACUGGGCGUAAAGCGCACGUAGGCGGAUCUUUAAGUCAGAGGUGAAAUCCCGGAGCUCAACUCCGGAACUGCCUUUGAUACUGGCGAUCUUGAGUCCGGGAGAGGUGAGUGGAACUGCGAGUGUAGAGGUGAAAUUCGUAGAUAUUAGGAAGAACACCAGUGGCGAAGGCGGCUCACUGGCCCGGUACUGACGCUGAGGUACGAAAGCGUGGGGAGCAAACAGG
rnacentral:rRNA from 1 species